ensembl:antisense
AGGGGUGGCAUAGCUGGACUGGAGCAGGACUUCUGGGGCUCGGUACCACAGCGUGACGACCUGCAAUAGCAAAGGGACCUGGUCGUUACUGAGGCAGCCAGCUGUUGA